rnacentral:misc_RNA from 1 species
ACUAACCCUAAUAUCUGUGAAUCGGCCAAGUUCUUUGGUAAACUUAAGCGUUUGAAGCGCCAAAUCCCUAGUUGGAGAAAGAAUUAGAGCUCUAACACCAGCUUGAGGCACAUGCUGCUUCAAUUUCUCAAGCAUAGGCACAAGGAAAGCCGCCGUUUUACCAGAACCAGUACGGGCCAUAGCAACAACAUCGAAUCCAGAGAGUAUAAGUGGCAUUGUCUUACGCUGAAUAGGCGUAGGAACUCUAUAACCUUUUCGUUUGAUUCCUCUGAAGAUAUUAGAGCUUAAACCUAAUGACUCAAAUCCUCCUGAUUUUGCCUUCUUCUUCUGCUUCUCUCUACGUUUAAGCUCCGCUUUGGAGCUAACCAGAAUCGCCAUUGGAGAGUUGGAAGCGAAG